CGCAGCCCCCGCACCGCGGCUCGGCCGCGCAUGGACGCGCGCUCCCGCCUGCACCUAUGCUGCUUGGAGAUGACCAGCAAAAGGAAGCUGAUCGGGCGCCUGGUGCCGUGCCGGUGUUUCCGCGGCGAGGAGGAGAUCGUCUCCGUGCUGGACUAUUCCCACUGCGGCCUGCAGCAGGUGCCAAAGGAGGUCUUCAACUUCGAGAGGACCCUGGAGGAGCUCUACCUCGAUGCCAACCAGAUUGAGGAGCUUCCCAAGCAACUGUUCAACUGCCAGGCCCUGCGCAAGCUGAGCAUCCCCGACAACGACCUGUCCAGCCUCCCCACGUCCAUCGCCAGCCUGGUCAACCUCCGUGAGCUCGACAUCAGCAAGAAUGGAAUCCAAGAUUUCCCAGAAAACAUUAAGUGUUGUAAGUGUUUAACCAUAAUCGAAGCCAGCGUCAACCCCGUGUCCAAGCUGCCAGAUGGCUUCACACAACUUCUAAAUUUGACCCAGCUCUAUCUAAACGAUGCCUUUUUGGAGUUUCUUCCAGCUAACUUUGGAAGACUUGUCAAAUUGCGAAUUUUGGAGUUAAGAGAAAACCACUUGAAAACUCUACCAAAGUCAAUGCACAAGCUGACCCAGCUGGAGAGGCUCGAUCUGGGCAAUAAUGAGUUCUCUGAGCUGCCUGAGGUUCUUGAACAAAUCCAGAAUCUGAAGGAGUUGUGGAUGGACAAUAAUUCCUUGCAAGUGCUACCUGGGUCUAUAGGGAAGUUAAAACAGCUCGUGUACCUGGAUGUGUCCAAAAACAGGAUCGAGACGGUCGACCUGGACAUCUCGGGCUGUGAGGGGCUGGAGGAUCUCCUCCUCUCCUCCAACAUGCUGCAGCAGCUGCCAGAUUCCAUAGGAUUGUUGAAGAGACUGACAACCCUGAAAGUGGAUGACAACCAGCUCACCAUCCUGCCCAAUGCCAUUGGAAACCUGUCCCUGCUGGAGGAAUUUGACUGCAGCUGCAACGAGCUGGAGGCGCUGCCCUCCACCAUCGGGUACCUGCACAACCUGCGCACCCUGGCCGUGGACGAGAACUUCCUGCCGGAGCUGCCCAGAGAGAUUGGGAGCUGUAAGAACGUGACUGUGAUGUCCCUGCGCUCCAACAAACUGGAAUUUCUGCCUGAUGAGAUUGGCCAGAUGCAGAAGCUGAGGGUGUUAAAUCUGAGUGAUAACAGACUGAAGAAUUUGCCCUUCACUUUUACCAAACUCAAAGAACUGGCAGCCUUGUGGCUUUCUGACAACCAGUCCAAGGCGCUGAUCCCGCUGCAGACGGAGGCGCACCCCGAGACCAAGCAGCGCGUGCUCACCAACUACAUGUUCCCGCAGCAGCCCCGCAGCGACGAAGAUUUCCAGUCCGACAGUGACAGCUUUAACCCCACUCUCUGGGAGGAGCAGAGGCAGCAGAGAAUGACUGUGGCCUUUGAGUUCGAGGACAAGAAGGAAGAGGAGGAAAACCCAGGGAAAGUCAAGGUGGAGAUAAACCUCAAGCGCUACCCCACGCCCUACCCCGAGGACCUGAAGAACAUGGUGAAGUCAGUGCAGAACCUGGUGAGCAAACCCAGCCUGGGCGUGCGGCCCGAGAGCGCGGCGCCCGCCGCCAGCGCCGACCCCACGGGCAAGGACAAGUACGAGCACAAGUGGCCCCUGACCCCCAAGGAGAUCUCCGUGGAGGAUGCCUUUGGACACCCUGCCAGCGAGAUGAGGAUAGGGGAGCUCCGUCCUUCCAUGCCCGAGACGCCGCUCUACCCGCCCAAACUCGUCCUGCUGGGUAAAGACAAGAAAGAGUCGACAGAUGAGUCUGAAGCAGAUAAGAUCCAUUGUCUGAAUAACAGCGUUUCCUCAGGCACUUACUCAGACUAUUCCCCUUCCCAGGCUUCCUCAGGGUCCUCCAACGCGCACGUAAAAAUGGGCUCCCUGCAGACCACGGCUAAAGAAGCAGUGAAUAACUCUUUGUGGGGGAACAGGCUGGCCCAGUCGUUCCCACAGCCCCUGGAGACCAAGCCAUUGCUGAGCCAGCGGGAAGCGGCUCCGGCCGGGACCGUCCCGGCGCGCCCGGAGCGGCGCCCGCUGAGCGACGCCUUCGCCGACAGCUGGAACGACGGCUCCCACUACGACAACACGGGAUUCGUGGCCGAGGAGAGCGCGGCAGAGAACGCCGGCACCAACCCCCUGCUCAGCACCAAAUCCAGGAGCUCCUCCGCCCACGGGCGCCGGCCGCUGAUCCGGCAGGACAGGAUCGUGGGCAUCCCCCUGGAGCUGGAGCAGCCCGCGCUCAGAAACACACACGACUCUGAAGUGCCUCCUCCCAACCCUUGGCAAAAUUGGACCAGAACCCCCAGUCCUUUUGAAGACAGGACAGCUUUUCCUUCCAAACUGGAAAGCACCCCCAACACCAGCCCUUUGCCCGAGCGGAAAGAUCACGUCAAGGAGUCUCCCGAAAUGACGAGCACUUUCACUCCAGGAAUCCCGUGGGAAUACCACGACCCCAACGCUAACAGGAGCCUCACAAACGUCUAUUCCCACGUGCACUGUCGCCCGGACCCUUCCAAAAACGUCAUCUCCAUCAGCAAGAGCACGGAGCGGCUCUCCCCCAUGAUGAGGGAUUUAAAAACAAACAAGUUUAAGAAGUCGCAGAGCAUCGACGAGAUCGACAUCGGUGCGUACAAGGUGUACAACAUCCCCCUGGAAAACUAUGCAUCCGGGAACGACACCGUGGGCCCCCACGAGAGGGUGGACAAGCUGCUGGGCCCGGAGCACGGCGUGCUGAGCAUGUCCCGCAGCCAGUCCGUGCCCAUGCUGGACGACGAGCUGCUGACCUACGGCAGCGUCAAGGUGCAGCCGCAGCACAAGGCGUCGGUCACCAAGAAGGUUUAUCAGUUCGACCAAAGCUUCAACCCCCAGGGCGCCGUGGAGCUCCCGGCCGACAAGCGGCUCCUGCCGCCCUUCCAGCUCAACGCCGAGUACCUGCCCCAGCCGGCCAAGAGCCUGCCCCAGGAGCUGGUGAGCCCGCGGGGCUACCGCGGCUACGCGCCCGUGGAGCCCAUGUUCUCCUUCUCGCAGCCCUCGGUGGGCGAGGAGCCGGCGGCCGCCCCGUUCCCCGGCCCGGCCGCGCGCCCCGGCUUCCUGCGCAGGGCGGAUUCUCUGGUCAGCUCGGCGGAGAUGUCGAUGUUCCGCAGGGGGGGCGAGCCCCAGGAGCUGCCCCCCGGGGCGGACAGGUACGGCCGGGCCCCGUUCCGCGGCGCCCCGGAGCGCCAGGGCAGCAUGGCCGUGCCCGAGGCCCAGUUCCUCAAGCGCAACGGGCGCUACGAAGACGAGCACCCUUCCUACCAGGAAGUGAAAGCCCAGACUGGGAGCUUCCCAGUUAAAAACCUCACGCAAAGGAGGCCCCUGUCGGCACGAAGCUACAGCACAGAGAGCUACGGCACGGCCCAAACGCGGCCGGUCUCAGCGAGGCCCACCAUGGCAGCUCUGCUGGAAAAGAUUCCGUCAGACUAUAACUUGGGUAACUAUGGCGACAAGCCUUCCGAUAGCAGUGAUAUAAAGCCGAGGCCUCCCCCUGGGAAGGGAAAUGAGAGCUGUGCUAAAAUGCCCGCUGACUGGAGACAACAGCUACUUAGACAUAUAGAAGCUAGAAGGUUAGACAGGAGCGCUGCUUACAAACACCACACAGUUAGCCUUGGCAUGCUGCACUCUGGAGGGGUUUCAGCCAUGCAUGCCGGCCGAAGCAUGACUUUAAACUUGCAGCCUAAAUCUAAAUUUGAAAACCAAAUGCCUCAAGAGCUACCUCUACCGAAAACCCCGUCGCAGCAGAGCAGCCUCCUGGACAACGGGCAGGACGAGGUGGCCGUGGGCAGCCCCUGGAACCCCUACCCGCUGGGCCGGCGGGACGUGCCCCCCGACACCGUCACCAAGAAGGCAGGUAGCCACAUCCAGACGCUGAUGGGCUCGCAGAGCCUGCAGCACCGGAGCCGGGAGCAGCAGUACGAGGGCGGCAUGAACAAGGUGACCAUCCAGCAGUACCAGCCCCCGCUGCCCAUCCAGAUCCCGUCCUCGCAGGGCUCCCGGGCCCCCCAGCCCCAGCGGUGCCUCAUCCAGACCAAGGGCCAGCGCAGCACCGACGCCUACCAGGAGCAGUUUUGUGUGAGGAUAGAGAAGAAUCCUGGCCUUGGCUUUAGUAUCAGUGGUGGAAUAAGCGGACAAGGAAAUCCAUUCAAACCUUCUGAUAAGGGUAUCUUUGUUACUAGGGUUCAGCCUGACGGCCCCGCCUCCAGCCUGCUCCAGCCCGGAGACAAAAUCCUGCAGGCAAACGGACACAGCUUUGUACACCUGGAACACGAGAAGGCUGUGCUCCUACUGAAGAGUUUCCAGAACACAGUAGACUUAGUUAUCCAACGUGAGCUUACUGUCUAAAUAUUUUUUUAUAAAUAGUAAAUAUGUCUAGCCAGAUCUAAUGUUCAAAAGGAUUUAUACAUAGGAAACCAAUUUUUUGCCAAUUGCUGGACCAAUGGCAAACGGUAGUGCCAAAUGUAUAAUACUCUAUGUUAGUACCAAUCAUCGGGAGAAAAUAUAAGAAUUAACUCUAUAAAUAUAUUGUUCAUGUGGCUCCGUAUUAGUUUUACUUGUCAGCCUCUGGCUGUGCAUUGGUGCGUUUUUUUAACCAAGUUCCUUCUUAAAAGUCAAUUUCAUAUGAUUUCAAAACACAGAAGCACAUACAAAUCCUUUAGGAAUUCUGCUGUCCAUCAGAAACACUGCCUCAAAGUUGUAUAUGCCUUUAUAAAGAUGAAAUAUAUUAACCUGUACUUCCCAUGAAAUAUUUCUAUCAUGUCGCAUACGAAAGUAUAGAGAAGAAAAUAUUUUCAUAAACACCUCAAAGAAAGUAUAUAUUAAAUUAAAUUUAAUAAUGUUCAUUUAUUUUCAAUGCAAAGAUAUUCUAUGCCUUAUGAAAAUACCUGUACAUAUGCCGUGUGUAUAGCUGGCUCCGUAGGGAUCAGGAACAAUUCGCUACACAGGGUGAGAGACUUCUCCAGCUGUAACUCUGGGACCUCGGGACAAGGAGCCCACGUGGGAAUGGGACAGCUCCCUCUGGAAUGGGUGAACAACUCCCUCUGGAAUGGGAUAACUCCUUCUGGAAUGGGUGAACUCAUUGUGGAAUGGGAUAGCUCCUUCUGGAAUGGGGUAGAUCCCUCUGGAAUGGGAUAGCUCAUUCUGGAAUGGGAUAAAUCCCCCUGGAAUGGGAUAGCUUGUUCUGGAAUGGGACAGCUCCCUCUGGAAUGGGUGAACUCAUUCUGGGAUGGGAUAUCUCCUUCUGC